GCAGGCUGCAGGCUCCUGUCCCACACAGAUUCCCUGCCCUGAGCUUCUGAAGACGGGACUGGCCUCAGCCCAUAAAACGCUGUCUGUUCUAUGAUCAAAUAGACCAAAACCUCCAGUUAUAAAGUGCCAACAGGAAUAGGGAAGGAGGAGAGGCAUUUGCAAUAGACUCUGAUAGAGUUUGCCCUGGGAUGGAGGAAGAGAGCGGAGAAUGGAGAGAGGAAGGGUGGAGACACACAGCCUGGUCCAAUCCUGCAGUUGCAUCUGGGAGGUUACAAUCUGCUCCUUGAACCAUUGCCAGCCGCGAUGGGACCAGAGAUGCCGAGAUGACGGGAUGGACGGGAUGGGAUUCUGCAUUCUCAGACUUCCUCCUUCCUCCUCCCCAGGACCCCCGCUCUGAAAAAUCAUCCUUGGCAUCACGUACAGGACGCAAGGAGAGGACCACCCAUCGUGUGACGCAAGACAGACCACCCAUCAUCACCUGAUGCAGGGACAGAAUCAUGACGCAGAGAAAGAGAAUUACUUGUAAACCUAUACGUGGAUGGGAAGGUCAUCAAGACCCGAGGCUACUCCAGGGACCAGUCUUCCCUCGUUGUGAGAGUGGGGCUGGACCACAUCUGGAGGACGAGAGGUCCCCUCCAUCCCAGCCAUCCCAGAUGGGUGAGCAAGGCCCUCCUAGGUCACCUGGCACUGCCGAGCCAAGCCCCAAACAGAAGAACCGACCGGCCCAUUGCAGAAUCAUGAGGGGCAACAGGUAGGUGUCCUCUGAGUCACUGAAUUUUGGAGCGGUUCGUUGUGCAGCAGAACCAAACUGCUGUCCCAUCCCUUUGCAUCCUCCACAUUGGAAUCACCCUCCUUUUUUGAAGCCCCAUAGUAUUUUGUCAGUAUCUUUUAUUGGGCAUUUGUCACUUUCUACGUUUUCUCAUCAUCAUUUAUGGAAACAGCAUCAGUGAGAGAAUAAAUUACUUGAGGGCUGAAUGCAUGCUUGAUUCACUUUUGUAUUUC